rnacentral:rRNA from 1 species
CCUACGGGUGGCUGCAGUAGGGAAUAUUGCUCAAUGGGGGAAACCCUGAACCAGCAACGCCGCGUGGAGGAUGAAGGUUUUCCGAUUGUAAACUCCUUUUGAUAGAGAAGUUAAUGACGGUAUCUAACCAAUAAUCACCGUCUAACUCCGUGCCAGCAGCCGCGGUAAUACGGAGGGUGCCAGCGUUACUCGGAGUAACUGGGCGUAAAGAGCGCGUAGGCGGGAUAUCAAGUCAGAUGUGAAAUCCUAUGGCUUAACCAUAGAACUGCAUUUGAUACUGUUAGUCUAGAGUAUGCGUGAGGUAGGUGGAAUUCUUGGUGUAGGGGUAAAAUGCGUAGAUAUCAAGAGGAAUACUGAUUGCGAAGGCAGCCUGCUAGA